AUUGAACGCUGGCGGCAGGCCUAACACAUGCAAGUCGAACGAGUGGCGGACGGGUGAGUAAUGUCUGGGAAACUGCCCGAUGGAGGGGGAUAACUACUGGAACCGGUAGCUAAUACCGCAUACCAUCGGAUGUGCCCAGAUGGGAUUAGCUAGUGGGUGGGGUAACGGCUCACCGAGGCGACGAUCCCUAGCUGGUCUGAGAGGAUGACCAGCCACACUGGAACGGAGACACGGCCCAGACUCCUACGGGAGGCAGCAGUGGGGAAUAUUGCACAAUGGGCGAAAGUCUGAUCAAGCAAUGCCGCGUGAAUGAAGAAGGCUUUCGGGUUGUAAAGCACUUUCAGCGGGGAGGCGUUACCUGAAGAAGAAGCACCGGCUAACUCCGUGCCAGCAGCCGCGGUAAUUC
rnacentral:rRNA from 1 species